rnacentral:rRNA from 1 species
CCUACGGGUGGCAGCAGUGAGGAAUAUUGGUCAAUGGUCGGGAGACUGAACCAGCCAAGCCGCGUGAGGGAUGAAGGUACAGAGUAUCGUAAACCUCUUUUGUCAGGGAACAAAGGCGGGGACGGGUCCCCGGAGGAGUUUACCUGAAGAAAAAGCACCGGUCAACUCCGUGCCAGCAGCGGCGGUAAUACGGGGGAGGGGAGCGUUAUCCGGAUUUAUUGGGUUAAAGGGGUGCGCAGGCGGUCUGUUAAGUAAGCGGUCAAAGCCCGGGGCUCAACCCCGGCCCGCCGUUGAAACUGGCAGUCUCGAGUUGGAGAGAAGUAUGCGGAAUGCGCGGUGUAGCGGUGAAAUGCAUAGAUAUCGCGCAGAACUCCGAUUGCGAAGGCAGCAUGCCGGCUCCACACUGACGCUGAGGCACGAAAGCGUGGGUAUCGAACAGGAUUAGAUACCCUUGUAGUC